GUUGUCUUUGCCUUGUUAUCUCAAAGCCGAUCGAAGUAAUUUUCAGCAGACUUAAAACUCAUAUUUAUAUAUAUUAUUUAAAAAAUUCUAAACAGGAUUUCUCUUCAUCUUGCCUAAAAUCUAAACGUCUCCUCAAUUCCUUUAUUGUUUCUGCCUCUGCCACUCUGAACAUGAAUAAAGAAUAAUUGGUCCAUGUAACACAGUCGCACUCCAGAGCCAGUCAGUCGUUCUAAUUUGCUUCGAACAGACAGUCAAAGGAGGGAGACAGUUCCUACAAACCUACUCGUCCCCGUUGAACGCUGUUGCCCAGCGAGCUGCUCCCAUGGGCGCGCGUUUGCCCCACAAUCCUCCAAAAACUUCGCCUAUUCGUUUACUUUAUACAAGCUUUUAAAAUUUGCUAAUGUGCCUGCCUCAACCACUAUUGCUUGCAGCUCAUUCCAACUAUGUACCUGCCCACAUGCAAUAAAUUUGCACUUGAUGUGCCUUCUAUAAACAUUCCGUCCAAUAGUUUAAGAGCAUAAGGCCAUAAGAUAUAGAAGCAGAGGUAGACCAUUCGGCCCAUCGAGUCUGCUCCGUCAUUCAAUCGUGGAUUGAUCCAAUUAUCCCAGUCUUCCCCACUGCCCUGCUUUCACCCCAUACCCUUUGAGGCCUUGGAUAAUUAAGAACCUAUCUAACUCUGCCUUAAAUGCAACCAAUGACUCGGCCGUCAAAGCUGCUCGUGACAACAAAUUCCACAGAUACACCGCCCUCUCACUAAAUUAAUUUCUCUGCAUCUCAGUUCUAAAAGGACGUCAUUCAAUCCUGAAGCUUUACCCUAUUUCCUUACCAUGGAAAAUAGCUUUGCUAUUUCUAAUCUGUUCAGGCCUUUUAACAUUCAGAUUGUUUCUAUAAUUUCCCUCCUCAUUCUCUCGAACUCCAGGGAAUACAGCCCAAGAGCUGCCAGACGUUCCGCAUGCGGUAUCCCUUUCAUUCCUGGCAUCGUGCUCCAGAAUCAUCUCUGAACUCUGUCCAAUGUCAGUAUAUCCUUACUGAAAUAAGGAGCCCAAAACUGCACACAAUACUUUCGCCUUCUUCCCAGCCUAUUCAACCUGGAGUUUAAUAUCCCCAACGAUUUAUCCUGACAUUUCUUUUCUGACACGCACAUGUUAAUUCUGCCAUGACUUGAAUUGGAGUUUCAUUUAAUAAUUCUAAGUAGUUCCCAAUGACAAUUGUCCAUAGCAGCAUCGUGGUCGGGAUUAGUUUUAAAUGAGGUCUGACACCGAGAUGACCGCACACAAAGGUAGAAUCCGGAAGAAGGAUCAAUCCAAUCAGCAAACAAGAAGGAUUGUCGGAGGCCUACAUUUCACACUAUUUGGAGUGCUUUCUCAGAAGGAUAACCUCAGUAAACUCCAAACCGAUCCCAUCGCCAGAAGGGUCAUCUUGUGCAAAUGGAAAGACUCGUCCCCUCCAACAUAUGGACAUUGGAUCAAAGGUAUCAUGUACUUUAAAAAACUUGAGAAGAUCCGCUUUUCGGUUAGGGGGGCAGCAUGACUUAAGUUGCCACUUGGCAACUUUUUUGAAGCAUUGUCAAAAAUAUGGAUGCUGAAAAAGUUGUUAGAAUGCGUAAGGUGCUCUAUCUUUAUGUACACAAGGCCUUUGUAUCUAUUUGACUGAUACAUCAUUUUAUUUUGACUGUGAAUGUCCAGUCCCUGUACACCUCCAUCCCCCACUAGGAAGCCUCAAAGCUCGCCGUUUCUUUUUGACCACAGACCCAA